UACGGGGGGGGCAAGCGUUGUUCGGAAUUACUGGGCGUAAAGGGCUCGUAGGCGGCCAACUAAGUCAGACGUGAAAUCCCUCGGCUUAACCGGGGAACUGCGUCUGAUACUGGAUGGCUAGAGUUUGGGAGAGGGAUGCGGAAUUCCAGGUGUAGCGGUGAAAUGCGUAGAUAUCGAGAGGAACACCUGCGGCGAAGGCGGGUUGCUGGGCUGAUACUGACGCUGAGGCGCGAAAGCCAGGGGAGCGAACGGG
rnacentral:rRNA from 1 species